rnacentral:rRNA from 1 species
GACGAACGCUGGCGGCGUGCUUAACACAUGCAAGUCGAACGGAAAGGCCCUGCUUGCAGGGUACUCGAGUGGCGAACGGGUGAGUAACACGUGGGUGAUCUGCUCUGCACUUCGGGAUAAGCUUGGGAAACUGGGUCUAAUACCGGAUAGGAGCCAUCUUUAUUGUGGUGGUUGGAAAGUUUUUUCGGUGUAGGAUGAGCUCGCGGCCUAUCAGCUUGUUGGUGGGGUAAUGGCCUACCAAGGCGGCGACGGGUAGCCGGCCUGAGAGGGUGUACGGCCACAGUGGGAAUGAGAUACGGCCCAGACUCCUACGGGAGGCAGCAGUGGGGAAUAUGGCACAAUGGGCGCAAGCCUGAUGCAGCGACGCCGCGUGGGGGAUGAAGGCCUUCGGGGUGUAAACUCCUUUCGCUAGGGACGAAGCUUUUUUGUGACGGUACCUAGAUAAGAAGCACCGGCUAACUACGUG